ACACUCACUCUCCUCCCUCCACCAUCUGUUGUUCCCUCUCUUCUCAGGCGGCUCUAAGUGCCUUGAAACAGCUGUCGGAGCAGGGGUUGGACCCGGUGGACGGAGCCAUCAAGAGCAGUGAGGUGUGUGUGCGGGAGGACGGACAUUAAACAGACUAACUCAGGCACCACCACUCAGGUCUGCACGGAUUCACAGGCUGUCGUCUAGGAGGUGAAACCCCCUCAAACCCACCCUCAACACCCCAUGACCCACAAUCCCCCUCUUCCCCCACGAUCGCCACUGUAUCCUGCAAAAACCUUUCAACAUGCAAUAGGGUGGAUGUGCACCGAGAAAAGACGACGACUAAAACACAUUAUUACUGAGUCUAUGUGAAGACAACGCUAUGUUAACACGUUUAUCGAUGAUUUCUAAAUUCAAAAGAUGAAACUCACGAGAGAGAUGCAUGGUACUGUAUGAAAUCCAAAGGGAGACCCUGCAGAGACCCUUUGGAUUACUGUAUUGUGGUGUGGUUAAACACAAAUAUGUACGUCAUGCCAUUGAAACACAGGAACAUAUGAGAGGAGAAACCAACUCGCGUACAGUAGCUUAUUUUCCGGGGGUAUUAUGUUUCCGUUUUUUUUAAUUCUUUUUAUUAAUCUAACAAUGCUUGAGUACUGUAUUUAAAAUUAACCAAUGCCAGUGCUGUGAAAGUUGUAGUUGUUGUCUUCAUAUAUAGUCACCCAGCUUACCUUGUACGCUGACAUUAAGAUAAAAAAACCAGUUCAUCCAUCGAUAUGGAUGAGUUUGACCUGCAAGAGAAUCAUAUCCCCACGAAUAACACAGAGCAGGUUUUCAUGUGGACAAAAAGGACAAAACUGGUGUUAGCAGUAAUCAGUAGAAGUGUUGGACGACCCUUUGCCUCCUGAAGGGUCUACAUUCCCGUUAACAGCCCCCAAAGCCCUGCAUAUUAUCACUGGAGAGGAGACUAAACACACGCUCCAUCCAGUGAUUUUGUGUCGGAAACCCCCUCCCACUGUUUUGUCGAUCACAUCUACACCCAUUGUGUGUGCUGUAUUGACCCGCCGAGGCAUCAACUGGGUGCUUUUAAAGCCUGCAUUAGUCUGGAGUGUGUCUUCUGAGCGGACUGAAGGCCACUCUGUCACUUUGUUCACUGACUUUGAGGACGUGUCUUCUUCUUCGCUGUGAGUACAACGUGUAAUACGGCUGUCUGUUACUGAAAUGCAGUAAAAACACCUCAGUUCAUGUGGAAAAAAAA